GAUGAACGCUGGCGGCGUGCCUAAUACAUGCAAGUCGAGCGAACAGACGAGGAGCUUGCUCCUCUGACGUUAGCGGCGGACGGGUGAGUAACACGUGGAUAACCUACCUAUAAGACUGGGAUAACUUCGGGAAACCGGAGCUAAUACCGGAUAAUAUAUUGAACCGCAUGGUUCAAUAGUGAAGGACGGUUUUGCUGUCACUUAUAGAUGGAUCCGCGCCGCAUUAGCUAGUUGGUAAGGUAACGGCUUACCAAGGCAACGAUGCGUAGCCGACCUGAGAGGGUGAUCGGCCACACUGGAACUGAGACACGGUCCAGACUCCUACGGGAGGCAGCAGUAGGGAAUCUUCCGCAAUGGGCGAAAGCCUGGCGGAGCAACGCCGCGUGAGUGAUGAAGGUCUUCGGAUCGUAAAACUCUGUUAUUAGGGAAGAACAAAUGUGUAAGUAACUAUGCACGUCUUGACGGUACCUAAUCAGAAAGCCACGGCUAACUACGUG
rnacentral:rRNA from 1 species